rnacentral:rRNA from 1 species
AUGCCGCUGUGUGUCGUUGGAGCCGCCACCAUGCAGGUCCUCCGCGGCCUCCUCACCGUGCCGCCGCAGCCACCGCGGCCUCCUCGCCGCGCCGCGCACCUCCAUAGACCGACACACGGACCGGAGCUUCACCGCGCAGCCGUCGGCGAACGCCGCCACCGCCGGCUCGCCUCCGGCAAGGGGACGACACCCAAGAUGAACCAGCUCUGGUACUAA